CUUGCAUUCCGAGCCGCUCCCAGGCAUGGUCUUAAGCUUGCUGCAGCCGACCUGAUUGGGGUCCUUCCACACUCUCCUGCUGCACCUACAUCACUGACCAAUGCAUUCAAACUUAUCCAAAACAAAAACAAAACAACCAGACAAUAAGGUUUCAAGCUCAAAGCCAUCUCUGUUACACUCUGCGAAACUCACUCUUUUUCCACACUGAUUUUGCUGACCUCCACCAAUGCAUAUUUAUACACACAUUUAAAAAAAAAAAAGGGGGGGUUCGACCUUAGGGGUGGUAAAAUUUGGGUUUAGUGCGGUGGUUGUGGGAGACUUACGUGGAAGCAUUUUGUGUCUUCUUCUUCCCUUAGGUUAUUCAAGAUGUAAUGAUUAGUUGAAUGUUCCCACUGAAAGGAUCCAUCGCUUGUUACUUUGGUAGAUUUUGGUUCAUAAAUAGAAUGCUAUUUCCUUGGCUAUUUUGUUAAAUUUUUCUGUUAUGUUCUCUUCUUCAGGUUGCCUUAGGGUAGGUGGCAGUGUGAACAUAUGCAUCGAAGGGUUUCCGUUAUCUUUUUGGCAUGCUUGGAGACUUUCAAUAAUUUGCUCCACUAUGAUAUAUUGAAAUAUAUUAGACUAUACGUGGCUUAAACUUAUUAACCUACUGCUGGAUAUGACCUUAUCUCAAUAAGAAAAGCAUAUACAUGACGUAUGUGCUCUCCUAUAUACUUUCAUAUCCUAAUUGUUUCUUAAAUAUCAACACCAUGCAUCAUCAAUGAAAAUCAAAGCAGAAAAUAAUUAAAACAACAUAUAUUUAGUGAUUUCAACCAAAAAUCUGAAAUUAAAUCAAGAGUCAAGUAAAUUGGAUUACAACCUAAUUAUUAGUCAUUAUUAUCCCAAAACACACUCCAGCUAAAAGAAUACAUAUUAUGGAAAUAGAUUGUAUGAAACUGUGAUUCCACAUCAUCUUUGUCCCUUUUCAAUGUGAGAAUGACAAAUCAGAUUUCCUCCUGAUUUUCUGUAGUUUUAGUUGGAUUUGAAUUUUUUUCAAGAGAAAAAAAGCUAAAAAUCAAGAAGAAAAAUCUGAUUUGUCAUUCUCACAUUGGACAGGGAUAAAGAUGACAUGGAAUCACAUUUUCAUACAAUCCUUUCUCCACAUCUUAUUACAUCAUUACUAUUUAUUUCAUUUUAUACCUUUUUUCUAAAUUUAAUAUAAUUUUUUACUAUUAAAAAUAAAAUAUUUAUUUUAUAAAUUAUUAAGAGAAUAUAUAUUAUUCACUAUUACCACAUUUCUAGUCUUGAGAUUGAUAUUAAUUUCUUGACAAAAAUAUUAUAAUGAAAGGUCCACCAACUGUUUAAAUUUUAAUGACAGGUUUUGAUUUUACUAAUUGUUGAGUGCACUUCAAUAUUUUCUUUUCACUAAUUGUCCUCUUUAGUUAAGGUGAUUUUUUAGUAGCUUUUUUGUAUUGUGGUUUUUUUUUGUUUUUUUGAAAUUUGCUAGUUUGUGAAAGAAGUGAAACUAGGUUUUCUGGUAAAUUGGUUAAUGCAAGUAACCAAUGGUCACGAGAUUAACUAAAAUUUUAACUAAGACAAAUGCACCUAUCAAUUGUAACUACAAGUAUUUGUAAUUAUUGUCUUUUAAUUAUUUAACUGAAUAAUUCGAAUGAUCGAUUAAAACUAAAAAUAACUAAUUUAAUUAACUAACGAACACGACAAAAUGCAAAAUACGAAAAAAUCAAGUAACAACCAAUAAAUGAAACAAUACCCAGAAAAGAAUCCGUCUAGAUUUAAUCUUUCACCAGCAAUCUAAAUUACUUCUUUACUUAACACAUUGAUCUAUAAAAAUCCCUAAAUUAUGCUAAUAUCUCUUUCGAGCAUAAGUGCAACUAACUCUAGGUUGAUUAAAUGAAAUUUCUUUCUAAUCCAGUAGAUUCCCUUAUUAGAUUUGACUCUAAUCUAGUAGAUUUAUGUCGUCCUAUUUCUAGGAUUGCAUGCAACAACUCCACUCAAUUACACAAGAUCGAAUCGUAAACAGAGUCUAUUUCACCACUGAUUUAAGCACAUCGACCAUAGAUCAAUACUCUAGAAAUAUCAAACCAAGAAUUAAGCACACAUAAUUGAGAAUAAGAAACUAAGUAUUUAUUGCAUAAAAUAAAAAUCAAAUGACAUAAUCAAUUAUAUGAUUCAUCUCCCCUAGGUAUUUAGAAAAUUAGUUUAUGCUCGAAAAUAGAAAAAUCCAAGAUACAAUAUAACCGAAAGAAAUAAAGAAACUCAUGAUAAUCUCCUAAGAAAUCAACUAGGAAUCUUCAAUCUUGAUAGAAAUCUUCUUCCAAGUCGGCUUCAAUGAUGCUUUUCAAGUUGUUUUCUUAAGUAUUCUUUGCCGACUCCCUCUUAUCUUCCUUUUUUUCAUAUGUACAUUUUAGAUUGCCAGAAAAACCUAAAAAUCAUGAUUUUUCACUGUUCAGUACACAAUCUUGUGAAAUCGACAUGACCUACAACAAAUCUAUAUGGUCUGGCCGUUGAAAAAAGUGUAGCUCGUGUGGUUCCUUCAACUUGCUUUGACACUUCAAUUUUCGCCCAAGUUCCCCAUUAAGCAUUAAAACAUGAAUUUAAAAGAUUAGGAGUAUAAAAUUUAAAAUUAACAUCGAAAAAUCACGCAAAAAAAUAUGAUAAGAAUGAGGUUAAAACAUGUUAUUUUUACCACUUAUCAGUAACAUUAGGCCAAAUAAUAAUGAAAUCGAGAGUAAUAAUUUUGGAUGCAUAGUUAAAUUUGAGGAGAUGAUUCCAAUGUUGUUGCAAAUGGGCAUCAAGAUGCCCAUUACCAAUAUGAAUUUCCCAUCCUAAAGGUAUCCAUCUAUUGGGAAAUCUUCCCAUAUUGUAGUAAACAUGUAAUUGUUUUCUAUUUAUUUGAACAAUGAAUAAAUAAAUUUCACAUUUCACUGUUAUGCCUUUUGUAUUUCUGUCUUUCAUAUUUUGCAUGCAUAGAAAAAUUGUGACAAUCAAAUAUUUUCUCAUUGAUUGUUAAAGUUCAAACUGAUGAUAAAUGGCGUUGAAAGAACGUUUAUUGUGAGAAAGACAACUUACUUCAGUAGAUAAUCUAAACGAGUUUGUAAUCCCGUAAGAGAAUCAAAGUGAGCAUUUGAUUCAAAUACUGAAAAGGAUUAUUAUGUCGUCUACAAUUCCAAUUAAGGAGAUUACUAAUCUUGACUAUCGGAGCAGUUGAAUGCACGAGUAGAGACACAGAUAUAUUCAUUUGUAGAAUAAUACAUUGGAUUAGACCCAAGAUGAAUUAAUUUUGAAUUCGUUUGUAAAUUAAUUUACUUGUGACAUUCAUGGUGUGAUUUACCUAAAUCCUAAGUUAGUCACAGACCAUGCGUAUGUAACUCAUGUGCUUUAAUAUAAGUGGAGGCUUAUGCUCUAAAGAUGAUUGAGACGAUAAUCGGUAUGUUGGGUACAUAACUUGUGAAUGGCAUGACUUUACUAGCAACAGUGGAAUUCAUAGCUCAAUUAAAGAGUUAACGAUAUCCUCUCAUUAGCAUUGCGUGGAUUGAUAAAUAUGAAACGUGGUCACAGGUUGCUAGUUCUUGAACGAGUAAUUUAUCAUAGCCAUUUGUUGAAAGUGGUCAUAUUAAUCAUUAAGAAGACACAAUGGUGACAAUGAGAUAAAAUAGGAUUGUAUUGAGUGAACGAAUUUAACUUAAAGGAAUUAAGGAUAUCAUAUGAGGGUAACACACACAUGACGAGGCCAUUGGACAAAGUAGUUGGAUGAAUUGCUUUCGUAAUUAUGCUUCUAGACAUAAUUGCAAUUACUAGAACUUAAUUGUAUAUGUCCGGCUGGUCUCUCCGUUAGGUCAACAAAAGCUCAUUUGGACUGCAUUUGAAUUAGAAGUAAAUUCCACGAGUUUGGAAAUAAUUUAAUUGAGUUGAUUUAUUUGAUGGGGGAAUUAAAUUGGGUGGGUGUAAGAUUUGUUCAACUAGAGAAUUUGAUUAAAGAAUUUUCUUAAAAAAAUAAUUUGGAAAAUCUAAGUGAUUUGUGGGAAAAUUAAUUUUGAUUAAGUAAAAUUAAAUUAAUCAAAUCAAUUAAAAUUAAUACGAUAUUUUUAGAAAUUAAUUUUUAAGUCAAAAAAUUGGCUUAAUGGGAAAUUCAAUUUGAAAAUUAGACCUAAGAUCGUAAAUUGGGCACGGGAACCCAAAACUGAGACCAAGACCCAAAAAUUGGUUGAACCGGGCAUGAUAUGUGAAACUGAGUCGAUGGUUCGACCGGUGGCUGAACUAGACCAGUCAAAUCGUCACUGGUUCGAAUCGAACCGGCAGAAAUCGAACCAGCUAGAGGUGCCAGUGGCUACGACGGCCACAUUCCGGUGGCCGAAAAAUGGUCGACGACAGAGAGUCUUCGGUGGUUAAGUAGUGGAAGAUUUACAUUCCUAUUGGGCCUCUACUAGAGAAUUUUGAUUUCAGAUUAACUAUUCCAAAAAUAAUAUUAUUUUAAUAGAUUUAAUAUUAAAUUUAAUUUAAUACUUAUCUUAAUAGUAUUUUAUUAAUUUAAUAUUAAAGUGAUUAUCUUAAUAUUAAAUAAAAUUUAAUAUUUAUCUUCUAGAUAAAUAUUCUAUUAAUUUAAUAAGAUUUAAUAUUAAUUUAAUUUAAUAUUAAAGUGAUUAAGUUUAAUAAUAAUUGAACUUUCUAAACUCUCCCUAUAUAAAGAGAGUCUUAGGUAAUUAUUUUUCACAUUUGAAUUCAAGAGAAAGUUGUAGAGAAAAUUCUCUAAAGAAAUUAUUUCAGAAAAUUUGUAGAGAUAUUUUUCUUAUUUACAACUCGACCCAAAAUUUUAGAGAAAUUGCGAAAUUACACUAGUAAUUUUUGUGAAAAAUUUUCUGAUUUGAAACGAGCCUACACUCGACAGACGUGACCUUUAAGAUAAUGGAGAAGACUACUCGGUCAAAGCAUUCAUCCUAGACGAAUUGAAAAUGUACAAUUUUAAUUAAGUCUUUAUUACUUUAGAUAUCACAACCAAGUUCUUGUUUUGGAAAAAAAAUUAAAACUCUAGUUUUUCCCUAAUUUUAUUUUCACCUGCGUUUUCCAAACCCGAUUUUUCAAGAAUUAGUAUCAUAACCGGGUUGUGCUCUAUCUAUAAGUAUAAAUAGAUAGCCAAAAUAAAUAUCUCUUCUUAUUGAAUGAUUUGAUUACAUAAAAAGUGACAUUAUUUAGAUCUUAUGCAUGCUUUGAGUUAUAUGGGCAUGGAUGCAAUAUUAUAUAUUUGUUAUAUAAUUGUUUUUUUUGCGAAGGUUUUGGUUCUUAGAAAAUAGACCGUGGGCUAUCAUCUCCACGUAGGACUGCUUUUUUUUUUAAUUCAUAGAAUUCUUAUGAGCCGAAAAUGGACAUAGGACUUAAAUGUAAUUUUUCCAUAAGGAGUCCAUGACGAGGAGAAGAUGGAGCGGUGGUGGUUGAAGACCCAAUGAAUGCUUUGUGGCAAAAAACUAUGUAAUUUUAUUUUUCUUUUAUUUUCUAGAAAUAGAAUCCGAAAAAUCUUGGCUGACAAUUUUAUUUUAAUUACCUAUCUCAUUAUGUAUUUGUUUUAUAAUUAUUUAUAAUAUAAUUGAUUCUUGUGAAUAAAUGAAUGUGAAUAUUAUAAAAUUAUCAUAGCAUACCAUCCAUAUGUUAGAAGCAUAUCAUAUAGAUUAGGUAAGAAUGCCACUACGACUAUUUUAUAAUCAUUCUUGAAAUAUGAGAUAAAAAAACAUUGCAUGUUAUUUUAAAAUAUUAAGUGGGAGAAGAUCCUUGAACAAGACCUACGACCUCCAUUGUAACACCCAAAACUCAGCUUGGACGUCCAAACCAAGUCUAGAUAAUUACAUCAUCAAUCUUAAAAUCUCACAGUUAUAACGUAAUAACACAAAACCAUUCAUCAUAUAUUAGCCAGCACAUGGUUAAUUAAGUAUGCAAUUUCCAAAAACAUCAUAUUAUCAUAAAAUACAGAAAGCCCUAAUAGUAAUUAUUAAACAAAAGGCUAAAUCUUGACCGAGCUCCUGCAAUGCUAACCCAUUCAAGUUUGUGAACCACCUACAAUUCAAUCAGAAAAUAAAUGAGUUGUGAACUAAAUAUAUAAAAGAAGGUUCAUACAAGUGUAAUACAAUUGAAAGAUCAUUCUUGAAUCUCGGUGAUGUGAUCCGGCCCGGAUUAAUUGAGUCGUUUCACGUAAUUGCCCGAUCGUCGACGAGGAAUAGUUGAGUUAUUGGAAAUAGGAUGAAAUAAGGCUAAAGAUGCGGAAGCUUUCAAAUGGUUUUAAAGGUUGGCUAAGGUGAUGGUAAAUUUAUAAGGGUAGUAGGCUCGAUUUAAGGAUAAAAAUAAGAAAAAUGGAAGUUGAUAAAUGAAGGCUCGGUUUUGUAAAAAAGAUAUUAUAGUUGGGUAAAAUCUAGGAUAGUCGGUGGAAUGGAUAAAUGAGCUUAAACGCCAGAAACGAUUCAACACUAAAAAGUGUCACCCCGAUUUCUAUUCGGUUCAAGGUGGGAUUGCGGAAUUGUAGAAGGGUUGAACGCCACACCAAAGCAAGGUGACAAGUUCAAAAGAGAACGAUAGACGCCACUAGCACGCUAGAUAAGUCAGAUCGAAACUCGUACGAAUUUAGAGAGGAGAAAACUCACUCUUUGAACAAAGUUCAUUCAAAUGAUCAAAAGUCAAAAGUCCUUUUUACAUGUUUGAACUCGAAAUUUAUAGCCAAAUAAGGGCUAGCCGAAUGGACAAAAUACUUGGCUGAAAUUCCAUCUCUAAAUUCACUUAAUUAAGCUUAAAAUUCUAAGUUGCUUCCUAAUGCAUUUGGGAGGUCAAAUUCAGCUUCUAGAUGCCUUGAAAUUCGGCUGGAGAAAAUUUGAAGCCUUGGUUGCUGAAUGGUUCAUGUAAAGUCGGCCUAGGGAGUGAAGCUUGGCCUUAAUUGCGGCUCCUUGAUCAGCUAAACAGAUUGGACUUCUUAAAAUUCAGAUUGGGUUCUCCAACCGAUCUUAAGUGUGAACUGAGGGAAAUAAUCAGCCCUUAUGUGUGAACACACGAAAAUGAAAGGACUUAGGGUGUGAAAGGAACAAUUUCGGCUGGUGGAGCUUUAAAAAUGCGUUGGUGAGCUGAAUAAUCAGCUUAGAAAAUUGCAACGGUAGCCUCCUCUUUUUAAUGCUAUCCCAAGUCCCAUGCACACACUAAAUUCGGCUGUUGGGAAAAUACAACAGCAACUUUCGCUUUAAAUGCCGUCCCAAGUCCCAUGCACUCAAUAAAUUCGGCAACUUUGGAAAAAUGCAGUAGCCACCUUUUCUUUAAAUGCCGUCCAUGUACCUGCACCUAUUAAAGUCAGCCAUUAACUCUCAUUUUAAGACAAAUUAAAAGGGAACAAUAAGACUUAUUAAAUUCGGCAGCCACAUGGUCAACAAGGCAUAAUAAAUUCGGCAGCCAUUAAGACAAUUUAUCCAUGCUUUUAAUUUCGGCUGGAACUAUGACAUGUUUAACAUUCUGCAUUUAAACAACAGCAGCAUUAAACAACAGCAGCAAAACACAUUAAUUAACAGCAUUAAAUUCGUCCAAAGUACACAAUAUCCUGCACAUUAAAUUCGUCUGGAAAAAUUAAUUGACAACAUGAAUUAAAUUUGUCUUAAAUUUAGACACACUUAAUUAACUAUUAGACAUCUAUUUAAUAGGUAAUAAACUAAGACACAUUAAAAUAAAAAUGUCCAGAUUUUUAAACAAAUUAAUUAACUUAUUUAAUUAACUAAUCAGCAACUUAUUUAUUCCAUCAUCUAAAUGCAAACUUAAUUAAAUAAAUUGCAUUCUAGCUCCAUAAGCUAGAAUCCGCCCAAAUUGAGCUGGGACGAGCUUGUGAGAAUAACGAGCCUCGCUCGUGAGUCGAGCCAAGAAAUGUUUCCAGGGCAGGGUCGUAUCAUCCCCCCUUCUGUGAAGUGACUUGUCCUCAAGUCGAGCUGUUGGUUCAUUCGAUCAUAACUCCGCUUACUCAUCUUUCCUCGAUCAAAUGGAACGAAUGACAAUUGAAGCAACUGAAAAGAAUAUCCAUGAGUUAGCAAAAAGCAGUGCAAACAAAUUUGCAAUUCGAGUAUAACAAGACAAAUGUAAUGCAAGCUAUUGGAAAGAUUCAGAUUACCAUGCAAGCGAACUAGUUUACUCGACAAGGCCAUGAAAAAUGUUCGAAACAAAAUCGAAUAGAUUUCUGGGCAUGCAUACAUCUUAAAUUGAUUACACAAGCUAUAAUUGAAUCCCGAGUAGUGAGUCAAAAUAUGUACAUAGGCAUCACAAACAGGUAAUGAAAAAUAUUUACAUGGUUCUCGAAGUUGCACAAUCAUACCGUGCAUUAGACGAUUGACUAUCGAUUCUAUUACAAUUACAUCAACACAAUUAUCAAAAACAAGAAUUUUUUUGUCACCAUUAAAAUUAGAUAGAUCGUGUUCAAUUGAGGCAAAACAAUUAACCAUAUCACAAUCAAAGUAUCUUUCAAAAACCAAUUCACGAACAAGAUUGUUAUUACCAUCCAAGGAAAUCAAAAAUAUUUUAGAAAUUUCAGGAGGCUUACCUUUCGGAGCAGGAAAAUAAAGUUCAUUUUUACCUCGCUCGCUUAACAAAAACCUUCGCUCCUCGGCAAUGUAGAGUAGUCGAAAUUCCUUGCUUGAAUUAACCUUUUCAAAUUGAAUCUCCAUACUCGACAAUAGAGCAUGCUUCAUAAUCAAAUUGGAAUUAUAAUCAAAAUACAUCGAGAACUCAUCCAAAUGAUUAUGUAAUCGAAAUUUCAGUCGGUCAAUUUUGCUCAAAAAUGCGGAAUUUGGAUAACAAAGCAGAUUUGAGGCACCAUCUUCAACUUUAAGUGCACUAACCAUUUUACAUGUCAUCGUCAUAUCAAACAAACAAAUCAAAGACAUGCAUGUUUUCAAGCAUUCAUACGUCUCAAAUCUCAUACGCACAUUCUUGUUUAUACAAAGUAGUUUCUCACAAAAGAUCAAUGAGUGCAUAUUUUUACCCAAAUCAAGCCGAUGGAAUGGCUUAUAUGUCUUUUUAUCUUGCAAAUGCCGAAUAAUUAUUAUUUUACUAACAAACUCAUCAGCAUCGCAAUUUCCAAAAGCGUUAUUCUUCUUGCCAUCAUUCCGCGCAAAUGUAUUAUCAUCAAUCAAAGGAUGGCAAGUAACCACAUCAAAGUUCAGAUCACUUCUAAAGGACAAUUCAUCAACAAGGUUUCUAUCAACAAUCGAAUAAAACAGAGGUGCUUUAAGAAUUUCAAAACUCAUACCUCGCUCCUCUUUUGGCAUAGGCGAACUAAGAUAGUUGAGAACGUUACCUUUUUCAACCAAGGUGAACCUUCUCUCCUUGGAAAGGUAUUGGAGUUGUAAAUUAUCGUCACUCGGCCUUGUGGAUACCUGAAAAACAGAAACAGAACAAGAACAAGUUUUAUAUGGAUUAGUUGAAAUGCUCCUCACUUUUUCUAGUUCAUUUGUCUCUUUUUCGCUCGUUUCUUUUUUAAUCUCAACUUCUUUUUUUCUCUUUUCAUUUCCUCUCUCGUUUUCAAUUUUAUUUUCGACCUCACUCUCUUUUUUGAUUUCUUUUUCUUUUUCAAUCUCUUUUUCUUUUCUUUUGAUUUCUUUUUCUCGCUCGCACUCUUGUACAAUCUCAAUUUCUUUUUCAAAUUCUUUCUCUUCAUUUUCUUUUUCUCUCACUUUUUCGAUUUCAUUACAAUGUGCAUUCGACACGAAAGAAUCAAAAAUAUAAUCAUUUGCCCCAAAGGAAGAGAAAAUAUUUUCAUAGGCUUCUCGUCCAUUUCUUCGGGAACAAUCCUCCGGGAAGGACUUCUUUGAAUCAUACGAUGAAUAACUCGUCCUCUCUCGUUUGUCAUGUCGAGAAGUUGCAAGCUCUAGGCUGUUGCGUCUUGAAUUCCUUAACGAAUAGGAAUCCCGAUAAGAAUCUCUUAGCGAGUAGUCUUUGGACGCGUAUCGCCGCAAUGAUCUCGACUCCAUUUCUCGAUUUGGUAGAUUUUGUUUUCGUCUGGCUCUUUCCUCCACUCGAUCCAAUCGAUCAUGCAAUUUAUCAAAAUUUGAUUUCACCAUUCUACGUAUCUCUUGCUUCAAAUAUUGGAAAUCUGAUUCGGAAAAUUCUUGUGACAUGAUUUUUUUUGCUAAAAAAAUGAUUAAAAUAAAAUAGAAAGUAAAUACCUCACCACAAAAAUCUCACGUUUCACUCACAAAGAAAAUUGGAUAACACUCCACUCGUGUUUACACUUGUUUAAUGGCUUUUGCUCGCUCUAAUGUACUCACCACUCGUGCCUUUUUUCGCUCGUCUCACUCUCGUGAAUUCGUAUUUUGUUUCAAGAAGACUUAUUGCGGCUUAGAGGGUCGGCUUCAAAUGGGUUACAAGGGAUAACGUCGGGUGUAAGGUAGGCUAAACAAAGAAAAUAAAAAUCAAAGUAUGUGUGGCGUUUUGGGGGGGGUAGAGGGAAUGGUAGAAUGAAUGGAUGCUCGGAAGCAACAAGAAACAAAAUAAAACUCACAAGACUUUUCACUUUUUUUAUUAUACUUCAAAAAAAAAUUUUUGAAUUUUUUUUUUGAAUUUUUUUUUCAAAUUUCCUCUUCUCUUUUUUUUUGAUUUUUUUUUCAAUUACAAUAUGCUGAAAUACAAAGGAAGAAGAGAAAAAAAAAUUACAACCUAAAUUUUUUUUUCACGUUACGAACCUACUCCGAGCUUGGUACGAACGUCGGCAUUCCUCGUUUUAGUAGCUCUGAUACCAGAUGAUGUGAUCCGGCCCGGAUUAAUUGAGUCGUUUCACGUAAUUGCCCGAUCGUCGACGAGGAAUAGUUGAGUUAUCAGAAAUAGGAUGAAAUAAGGCUAAAGAUGCGGAAGCUUUCAAAUGGUUUUAAAGGUUGGCUAAGGUGAUGGUAAAUUUAUAAGGGUAGUAGGCUCGAUUUAAGGAUAAAAAUAAGAAAAAUGGAAGUUGAUAAAUGAAGGCUCGGUUUUGUAAAAAAGAUAUUAUAGUUGGGUAAAAUCUAGGAUAGUCGGUGGAAUGGAUAAAUGAGCUUAAACGCCAGAAACGAUUCAACACUAAAAAGUGUCACCCCGAUUUCUAUUCGGUUCAAGGUGGGAUUGCGGAAUUGUAGAAGGGUUGAACGCCACACCAAAGCAAGGUGACAAGUUCAAAAGAGAACGAUAGACGCCACUAGCACGCUAGAUAAGUCAGAUCGAAACUCGUACGAAUUUAGAGAGGAGAAAACUCACUCUUUGAACAAAGUUCAUUCAAAUGAUCAAAAGUCAAAAGUCCUUUUUACAUGUUUGAACUCGAAAUUUAUAGCCAAAUAAGGGCUAGCCGAAUGGACAAAAUACUUGGCUGAAAUUCCAUCUCUAAAUUCACUUAAUUAAGCUUAAAAUUCUAAGUUGCUUCCUAAUGCAUUUGGGAGGUCAAAUUCAGCUUCUAGAUGCCUUGAAAUUCGGCUGGAGAAAAUUUGAAGCCUUGGUUGCUGAAUGGUGCAUGUAAAGUCGGCCUAGGGAGUGAAGCUUGGCCUUAAUUGCGGCUCCUUGAUCAGCUAAACAGAUUGGACUUCUUAAAAUUCAGAUUAGGUUCUCCAACCGAUCCUAAGUGUGAACUGAGGGAAAUAAUCAGCCCUUAUGUGUGAACACACGAAAAUGAAAGGACUUAGGGUGUGAAAGGAACAAUUUCGGCUGGUGGAGCUUUAAAAAUGCGUUGGUGAGCUGAAUAAUCAGCUUAGAAAAUUGCAACGGCAACCUCCUCUUUUUAAUGCUAUCCCAAGUCCCAUGCACACACUAAAUUCAGCUGGUUGGGAAAAUACAACAGCAAUUUUCGCUUUAAAUGCCGUCCCAAGUCCCAUGCACUCAAUAAAUUCGGCAACUUUGGAAAAAUGCAGCAGCCACCUUUUCUUUAAAUACCGUCCAUGUACCUGCACCUAUUAAAGUCAGCCAUUAACUCUCAUUUUAAGACAAAUUAAAAGGGAACAAUAAGACUUAUUAAAUUCGGCAGCCACAUGGUCAACAAGGCAUAAUAAAUUCGGCAGCCAUUAAGACAAUUUAUCCAUGCUUUUAAUUUCGGCUGGAACUAUGACAUGUUUAACAUUCUGCAUUUAAACAACAGCAGCAUUAAACAACAACAGCAAAACACAUCAAUUAACAGCAUUAAAUUCGUCCAAAGUACACAAUAUCCUGCACAUUAAAUUCGUCUGGAAAAAUUAAUUGACAACAUGAAUUAAAUUUGUCUUAAAUUUAGACACACUUAAUUAACUAUUAGACAUCUAUUUAAUAGGUAAUAAACUAAGACACAUUAAAAUAAAAAUGUCCAGAUUUUUAAACAAAUUAAUUAACUUAUUUAAUUAACUAAUCAGCAACUUAUUUAUUCCAUCAUCUAAAUGCAAACUUAAUUAAAUAAAUUGCAUUCUAGCUCCAUAAGCUAGAAUCCGCCCAAAUUGAGCUGGGACGAGCUUGUGAGAAUAACGAGCCUCGCUCGUGAGUUGAGCCAAGAAAUGUUUCCAGGGCAGGGUCGUAUCACUCGGGAUCUGAUUAAGCAAUGAAAGUCUUUCCAGUUUAGAUACAGAACAGUUCAAGUAUAGAAGCAGAAGCGGUUUCAGUUUCAUUUACAGAACAAAUCAGUUUCAUAUGCAAGUUUUCCUACCCCCAGCCUCUACACAUCAUCUUCGACCAACCUAACACACCAAUAAGGGCAUUCAACGCCUGUCCAACCUACACACCUUAGGGUAUCUAUUUGACAUGUUUACAGAGUUGCAGCUUAACUGCUAAAUCAGAAUGCGUCUAAGUGCCAGAUUUAAAGCUAUCAGCAUUGUGGCUUAGCCACUAAUUCGGAUCAGAGUACUUCCUUCUUCACAGUAUCCCGACCCAUGCAUAUGCAGUGUACACAUACCCACAGGGAUGGUUGUCUUUUUUCUAUUAAUGUCGGUGCAAUAACUAGAUAAAAAUGAGAUAAAUUGUAAGAAUAGUUGUUGAUGCAAUAAUUUGAAAACAAUAAAAUCAAAUAUGGUACUGAUAAACUAGGAUCCCCAACAUGAAUCUUCAGUAGAAUACUAAGUGCUCAUAAGGUAUAAAAGGAUAGGUAAUUGUCGAGACAAUAAAAUUCAAUGUAUAUCUUACCAAGCAUCACUCAUCUAUUUAAUCUAAGACUUAAACAUGCACAUUAACCCAACCUUCCGAUGAUGGCAACAUGGCACUAUUAAGAAAAAGUGGACUAAAUUCCUCUAUUCCUCACUCAACUUCCAUUGUAAUGUUUGUUGGCUCGAACUAUCACUGCACUUUCCAGUGUCAGUGACUACAAUAACACUUCCGUGUUAAGAAACAUUCAAACCCCACGAUUAAACAAUAAAAGCAAGAUUGAAUAAGAUAACAUUUAACCAAGAAUUCAUCUGUACUUCCAUACAAACAGAAAACAGAGAGUAAUCACCAGCAUUUAGAAAGAAAUAAGAAAGAAUCGAGUGGAGAAUACUAUUUCUAGACAAAUCGACUGAAUCUCCCUAUUCCCUCUUGUCUCUUACUUAGGUCUCCUCAUCAGAAGCUAAUCUGCAUCAAUUUGCAUGUUGGCUCACCCGUGAGAGGCUUAAGCUGUCAAGCUUCAAGGUAAGAUGAAGAAGAUGAUGGUCAAGAACAAGCUUCCCCUUUUUUCUCACGUCAACCUUUUAUGUCCUCCUCCUCCUCUAACAGUACAAGUGUCCUUUCCUCAGAAUUAUUCUGUCCUUGUACGUACAGGUUGGUUAUACCGGACUAGACAGCUCACGUAUUUUUAGUUCUUAUCUGAACAGCUAUCAUGUGCGAUGAAAUUUCUGGAUGCAAUCUGGAAUAACUCAUGCAGCGACAUUAAUGCAAAAAGAUAGCAAAAUUAAAGAUAAAAUAGGUUAGGAUUCACUGAGUUAUAAAACAAUAUUUACUAAACUAAAAAUGCUAAAAUAUAUGCUAAGGAUAACUAAAUGGGAACAAUUUAACGAAUAGGUAAGCAGGAAAACCUAUGUUCUUUGUGCUAUCAACGAGUUGUGAAAAUGGGUCUGCUCACACAAGCUGUGGAGUAUUCGCAACACAUGCCGGACCACAAUCAUCGAUAGGACAUUCAAGACUAGCACUUGAAUCAUGUAAACCCUAGUGACUUGUCAUUUGCAUCCUACGAAUUCUUAAUGUUCAAACGGGGCUCGGUAGUUGUCGAAAUAUUGUCGGAUUUCCAUCAUCCAUUUACUCAAUAAAUUGUAUAAAAUAACACAUAUAUAUUGAUUCAAUCACAAAAGAAUCACAUACUAACAUUUAAUUAAUCAGCAUUAUAUAGAAUUUAGUUCAUAUGAACUUACUUGGCAAAAUUGCAGAAAUGUCAAAAUAUAGGGACAUUUUGGUAAUUUUCUAUUUUCCUCAAUUUUCUACCUAAUCUUGAUCUAAAUUAAUAAUUUCAUUUAACCUAUUAAUUUAGACAAUAAAAUAAUAUAUUUUAUGCAAUUUAGUCAUUUUUAACAUUUUUAAAAAAUUUCUCCUAAAGUUUUACUUUUAUUUAAUUUAGUCUUUGGGCCCAAAACAUGCAAAUUAACCAUUUUUUAUGUCAAUUUGUAAUAGCCAAAUAUUCAUGGCACCCAUAUCAGCCCAUAUUUGUAACAAUUUCACAUCAAAUCCUUGUACUUUUACUAUUUUAAUAAUUUAGUCUCUAAUCAAAAAAUUCAUCAAAAAUCACUUAAUAAAAUACUAGAAAUCCAGUACGGUGUGCAAACUUAUAGACUUACCGGUUGGGAUUAAACCCAUAAGGUGUAAGUUGAUCUACAAGAAGAAGAGAAAUGUGGAAGGGAAACUGGAAACGCAUAAAGCUAGACUUGCAUGGAAAGGCUACACAUAGAAAGAAGGCAUCGAUUACGAUGAGAUCUUCUUUCCAGUAGCCAUGCUCAAGUCUAUCCACAUUCUCUAAUCCAUUGUCGUUGUUCUCAAUUACGAGAUCUAGAAAAUGGAUGUCAAGACAACAUUCUUGAAUGAUUGUUUUCAUCAGACCAUUAUAUGAUUCAACCCACUGGCUAUGUUGUCAAAAGAAAGAAAGAGAAAGUUUGCAAACUACUAAGAUCCAUUUAUGGACUUAAGCAAGCAUUCUGCUAAUGGAAUAAAAGAUUUGAUCAAACGAUCAAUACUUUUGGGUUUGAGCAAAACACUAAUGAACCUUGUUUUUAUAAAUGUAUAAAAGACGAAAAGGUGGACUUCCUUAUUUUGUAUGUCGAUGACAUUCUACUUAUAGGAAAUGAUGUAGGAGGAUUGUCAUCAGUUCAAUUAUGGUUAGAUAAACAUUUUAGCAUGAAUGACUUGGCUAAAGCUAGUUAUAUUCUUGGAAUUCGAAUCAUUAAUGAUUGAAAGAAUAAAAUGAUAGCUCUAUCAUAAGCUUCAUACAUCGAUAAGGUAUUAGAACGUUUUGCAAUGACCAAUGCGAUUCUUUAGAUGAUUGUCUUAAGACAACAGAAGAAAGAUAGCAUGUGAGUAAGGUUCCAUAUGCUUCAGCAGUUGCAAGCCUUAUUUAUGUGAUGCUUUACACACAUCCAAAUAUUUUUUUCCCAGUAGAAAUGGUUAGCCGAUAUCAGGCGAAUCCUGGCUUAGGCACUGGCAAGAUGCAAAGCAUAUAUUAAGGUAUAUUUAAAAAAAAAUAGGGAUUAUAUGCUUGUGUAUUCUAGGGAGAACCUUACUCCUAUUGGAUACGUAAACUUAGACUUCCAAACCUAUAAAAAUUUGAGGAAAUCAACAUUGGGAAAUGUAUUCGUCCUAGGCCAUGGAGCCAUAGUAUAGAGAAGUGUAAAAUAAACUUACAUUGCUGACUCUACUAUAAAGGCCAAGUAUGUGGUUGUUUCUGAGGCAACGAUUUUUAACCAAUCUUGAAGCCAUUCCUGGUAUGGAAAAAGCUAUAUCAUUGCAUUGUGAUAAUAGUGCUGCAAUAGUUAAUACUAAGGAAAUGAGAAGUCACAAGUGUUCGAAACACAUUGAUCGAAAGUAUCACUUGAUAUGAGAGGCAGUAGCUGAAGGAAUUAUAGAUGUGGUGAAAGUAGGUUCUGAAGAUAACCUUGUGGAUCUGUUUACUAAGACUCUUGUAACUAAGAGUUUUGAUAAACACGUCGAGGAUAUGGGAAUGCGAAACAUGACACUAGGGUAAGUAGGAGAUUUUUAGGAAAUGUGUCCAAAUUCUAGUAAAUAUGUAAUUAUUUCCUAUGUAUUUGAAUGAUGAAUAAAUAAAUAUCACAUUUCACUAUUAUGUCUUUUGUAUUUCUGUCUUUCAUAUUUUGUAUGCAUAGAAAAAUUGUAGCAAAUAAAUAUUAGCUCAUUGAUUGUCUAAGUUCAAACUAAUGAUAAGUGGCAUUGUAAGAACAUUUACAUUACGAGAAAAACAACUUACUUUAGUAGAUAAUCUAAACGAGUCUGCAAUCCCAUAAAAGAAUCAAAGUGAGCAUUUGAUUCAAAUACUGAGAAAGAUUAUUAUGACGUCUACAAUUCUAAUUGAGGAGAUGACUAGUCUUAGCUAUCGGAGUAGUUAACUCCACGGGUAGAAAUAUAGAUGUAUUUAUUGGUAGAAUGAUACAUUGGACUAGGCCCAAAUUAAUUCUUAAUCCGUCUGUGAAUUAAUUCACUUGUGACAGACAUGGUGUGGUUUACUUAAAUCCUGAAUUAGUCACUGACCAUGUGUAUGUAACUCAUGUGCUUUAAUUUAAGUGGAGGCUUAUGCUCUAGAGAUCAUCGAGUUGAUAGCCAGUAUGUUGGGUGCAUAACUUGUGUAUGACAUGACUUUACUAGCAACAAUGAAAUUUAUAGCUCAAUUAAAGAGUUAACAGUAUCCUCUCAUUGAUAUUGUGUGGAUUGAUAAAUAUGGAACGUUGCCACAGGUUGCUAGUUCUCAAUCGAGCAAUUUAUCACAAUCAUUUGUUGACAGUGAUCAUAUUAAUCAUUAAGAAGACACAAUGGUGACAAUGGAUAAAUAAAAUUGUAUUGAGUGAACAAAUUUAACUCAAAUGAAUCAAGGAUAUCAUAUGAGGGUAACACAUACAUGACUCCAAAUAUGUUUGACUAUUUCUAAAAAGUGACAUGAAAGUUUAUUUUAACCCAAGGUAAGUUCGGCGGUCUCCAUCACUCCUCAUCUAUCCUCUGCCCAGGUAUUUUAUUGUUUACUCAAUCCCAGUUGCUAAGAUAUGCCUUAGUAAACUAUAUAGUUUCUAAUGCUGAUUGAUGAAAUCCCUCGUACAAGGCCUUAUUUCAACCUGUCCAUAUGGCCCAAAUGCUACAGAAUAGAAGCGUUUUUUGAUAAAAUGAGCUUCUGGUAAGUACUUCCCCUAUCCACUGCCGAAAACUUUCUACCGUUACCCCCUAACUUUCUAGAACUCCUAGCUCAACCCAAACUUCUUUAACUGUAGGGCGAUGUUUGAACCUAUGUUAUAUCAUCUCUGUUCCAUUUUUACACCUUUGACACACAUCUGAGUUGCACACCCAUCUAUAUUUCAAGUUGCUAAAAGUUGGAAUAUAAUUGUUGUAAAUCCUCCUGUUUGUAAUUUUGAUUUUUUUUUGGCUAGUCUGUUUGCCAUAGGUGUUUUAGAACAAUUUUGUCUAUAAUUUCAAUUGUAUCAACAUCUAGCCUAAAUCUCUCUUUCAAUAGCCUUCUUCAACCGAUCCUCACUGUAUACUCUUCUGUUGGCUCCCCACUUCAUACUUUACAGUUCUUUCUUGGAUAUCGCUCCUAUUUGUAAUGUCAAGAUAGCUUCUACCUCUUCCCUUGUAAACAAAGAGGUAACAAGGUCCUCCUUCCACUGUCUCAGAUUUGAUUUAAUCAAUUUAGCCACCUUAACUAUAUUGUGAUAUUAACUGACUCAUAGAUUUCCUGAUCUUUCAACCCAGGGAUCCAAGCAUCCUCCCAGAUGGAUAUACAAUGACCGCUACCCACUCUCCAAGCCAUUCCAUUCUUCAACAGUUUCUUCGUCAUCUAUACACUCCUCCAAGUAUAAGAAGGGUAAUUACCUAACUUUGAAUUCAUGAAAUCGACAUUCGGGAAAUAUUUUGCUUUCAAAGUUGUAGCUAAUAACGAAUGUGGGUAAUUCAUUAAAUGCUAGCUUUGUUUUGCAAGAAGGGCCAAAUUAAAUUUAGAUAAGCUCCUAAACCCCAUUCCCCCAUCCUCUUUUAGUUCACAUAGUUUAUUCCAAUUGCACCAAUGAAUCCCCUUCCGUCCUUUUUUUUCUGCCAUAAGAAUUGACUUAUAUCCUGUUCCAUAUCAUGACAUAAAGAAUUCGGUAAUAAAACACAAGGCAUAACAUAAGUUGGAAUCGAUUGCAAUACACUCUUAAUAAAAAAUUCAUUCUCUCCUCGGGAAAGAGUUUUAACAGACCAAUUAUUUAUUCUUUCUGUAAUCCUCUCUUUCAAACCAUGACUGGUCUAUCACUUCUACCUCCCUACAACAUUCGGGAGCCACAAGUACUUCUCAGGAUUCAUCAAACAAUGCACCCUCAAUAAUUGAACUACCGAAUCUUUUGCCUGCACAGAACUAUUUGAGCCAAAAAAAUAGUGUUGAUUUCUUCAAACUCUGCCCUGAGUAUUCUUCAUACUUUUUCAAAAUCUUUUUCGUCUCAUUUGCUCCCCCUUCUGUAGCUUCACCAAAUUAAAUACAAUCAUUUGCAAAGAGUAGAUGAGUAAUCUCAAGACCCCUUUAUUCUCCCAUCCCCUUUCGCUAUUUUCAUCGAUGUCGAUAACCUCUCCCAAAAAUAAAAAAUAGAUAAGGACUUAAUGGAUCCCCUUGUCUAAGACCUCUUGUCGGUUUGAAUUUUUCUCACAUCUCUCCAUUAAAGCAUACUAAGUAUGACACUAAAGAAAUAAAUGACAUAAUUAAAUCCACCCACUCCUUCUCAAAACUCAUUUACAGCAUCAUCUCAUACAAGAAACUCCACUCAACCCUAUGAUAAGCCUUACUCAUAUCUAAUUUGAGCGCAAAAGAUCCCUUCUUACCAAUUCUCCUCUAUUUUAAACUAUGCAAAAUCUCAUAGGCCAAUAGCACAUUAUUUGUUAACAUUCUUCCUGGAAUAAAAGCACUUUGUGCUUCAUCAAUACAACUUCCCAAUACUUUUUGGAAACGAUUCGCCACAUUUUUAAUAUAAUCUUAUAGAGGAUCGAACAAAGGCUAAUAGGCCUAAAAUCUUUCAAACUAUUUGGCCGAGAAGUUUUUAGGAUUAAAACAAUAAGAGUAGAGUUAAUGGAUUCCAAUGAAUUACCUCAAUUUAGAACAUUAAUACAAUAACUCUCCACAUCUUUACCCAUAAUAUGCCAAAACUUUUGGAAGAAAAGUGCUGGAAAGCCAUCCUUCCCGGUAGCCUUCAAUGGAGUGAUCUCUUUCAAAACUAUUUGGAUCUUAUCAAUUUUAUAGAUCUUCUUCAAUUCUUGAUUUAUAUCCACUGUAAUACAUCUAUUAACUCCUUCCAAGCCACCCUCCAACCCCUCUGCCCUACUUGAUUUGAAUAAUUUUGAAAAGUACUCCUUCACGAUCCCUACCAUCUCAUCCUUAUCUGUAGUAAUUGAAUUAUUCUCCUUCUUGAGUUUCAUAAUAUGGUUGAUUCAGCGUCUUUAGGAUGCGGACUGCUAAAAAAAUGUUGUAUUGCGAUCUCCCAUCUUUAACCAGUUAUCCAUUGAUCUUUACUCUCAAUAAAGCUCUUCUUUAUCUUUCUCCAAGUUAAGGUCCAAUUUCAAACCAAUCAGGUUUUCGAUUACCUCAUUCAUGCGAUCCUCCUCAUUCAGCUCAGCCACCCUCCUUUCCAACCCCCUUCUCAUUCCCACCUUUUUUUUCCUUUCAAAUGAUUAGCCCAACUUUAGAGACCCUUUCCCAAAAAUGCAAGUUGAUUAGGCACAUCCCCACCAAUAUUUUCUCACAAGUAUCAAAUUUCCUCCUCACGCGAGCCCUCCAACAACCACCACUGUUCGAACUUAAACCUCUGAGCUUUUGACCACGCUUCAACGUGAUUUGUCUCCAAUAAUAUUGGGCAAUGAUCCGAAAAAGAAUGUCCCAGAUGUUUGACUCUAUUAUUUGAGAAGAGAGUCCACCAAUCCAUAUUUGCAAUUUAAUCGAUCUAGACGCUUCCUGAUAUUAUUCUCUAUAAAAUUCCCUCAUUCCCAAGUGAACCACGAAUUUAUAAUGUAACACCCUAAACCCGACUUAGACGUUAUAAUCGGAGCUUAAGGAAUUACAUUAAAUUGUUUGAAAACUUUACUUAGUUGUGCAUUUCAAAAGCAUAAAAUUUGGCAGAACUCUCACAAAUGUUUAGGAAAACUUAAGUUUGGAAACACUUAUUUCAAACCCAAAAUUCAAAAGUAUCAAUUUUGGGCAAAUCAUUUCCAAUUGACGCUAACUUUUGCUAAAAACUAUUUAUUUAUAGAAAAACACUUAGGUGAUUACUUAAUUAUACAACAGAAAACUUUCAAAAUUUUAGUUUUGAAAUCUGAAUCUUAGUUUGUUAACUGGUGCGGUUUUUUUUUUCAAUUUUUAUGUUUAAUAAUAUCAAAUACUGACAAAUAAAAUAUAAACCAUAUCAAAGCCCAAAAAUGGAUUACAGUCCCAAAAGUUUAGAUAAAUUACUAAUGUAAAUCACCAUAUUUAAUUAGUCGAGAAAACAAUCUAAGCUCCCAUACGUCGUCUGGUCCUAAAUCCAAAGAUCACCUAAAACAUAUUAAACAAACGAGUGAGUUGGAAGCCUAGUGUGUGACUCAGCCCAUAAACAGAAUUUUCUUAUAACAUACACAAAUGUAAAUACCAACACAAAAUUUUACUUAUAAUGUUCACAUAUACGAAUAUCAUAUCAGAAUAUCACAUUACCAAAAACAUAUAUCAAACCAGAAUGUCAUAUUUCCAUAAACAUAAACUAGAUCAGAGUGUCAUAUUUUCAUAAAUAUAUAUCAUAUCAGAAUGUUAUAUCAGAUCAAAACAAAUCAUACCCUCAUUCGCUACACACCAUCUCCGUCCAACCAAUCACACCAAAAAGGACAACAAAAAUCCAUUCAUCCAAUCACACCAGGUUGUGGUGGUAUGCCACUCAUAAUGGUGCAAUUGAGCUACCAAACACAUAUUGUGGUUUAGCUGCCAAAAUUGCUAUAAUACUGCCUCAACACACUUCCUCUAUCAUUAAAACCCACCCCAAUGCACAUGCAAAAUCGUAAUAACAUACGUUCAUAUCACAUAGUCGAAUUAGAUAUCAUAUCAGAAUGGAUAAGAGAAUACAUAUGUCACAUAUGCAUUACAAAAAUAGUCAUGCUUUCAAAUUUACCAACACAUAUAUUAUACAUAUAGCUCUCUUAUCAAACGUAUCAACGCAUAUACCUCAUUUCGGGUCUUUUUUAAGUAAAAUGAACCCCACGGAGGGUCUAAUUACGAACUACAAAUCAAAUCAGCCCUAAAUGAAAAUUCCAAAAAAAUGGGUCACACACCUGUGUGGUUUCACAAGACCCAGAUGAUUGUGAUAAAUUGCUUGUUUGAGAACAAACAACAUGUGGCCACGUUCCAUAUUUAUCAAUCCACACAAUGCCAAUGAGAGGAUAUUAUCCACUCUUUAAUUGAGCUAUGAAUUCCACUGUUGCUAGUAAAGUCAUGUCAUACUGUUGCUAGUAAAGCCAUUCCACUGUUGCUACAAUAUGGGCACAUUUCCCAACAAAAGAAAUGUCAGAUUUUUGGGAAAAUUAAUUAAUUAAAAUCCCUAUAUUUUUUAAACUACCCACUACCCCCACUCACUCCCACUAAUUCUGAUUAGUUAUCUUUAUUAGAAUUUUCCCCAGAGUUUAAAACAAAAUAAUUCCACUUUGCACAUACAAAAUUCGAACACAAGACCCUAGUAAGCUAAAGCCUUACCACUGAAUCAACAGGCUCAAUAUUGUCAAAACUUGUACAUGAAUUAAAUUUAAGCCAAAUAUAAAGAGAUAGAGAUAACGUAAAAAAUAGAAAAAUUCUAAAAAGAGAGAUUUGAACACAGGACCUCAACCACACAUUCAAAGCACUUAUCCACUGAAACAGAUCAAUUCACUUGACAAAAUUCCUACAACAUUAAUUCAAAAACAGAACGUAAUAACUCUUGGUUUCACAAACUCAAUUUCUUCUAACUCAAUUUUUGAUAUGUGACAUACAAACCCCAAAUCUUCUAGUUAACAAUGUUCCAAAGUUUCUCUAAAUGCCUCCAUUCUCCCUCUCUCCCUUACCGCACCCCUUUCUUCUCAAAAGAAUAAAGAAUCUCGUUAAAGUCCCCCCAACCAACCAUGGAAAGCUCUGAUCUUGUCCUAAAGCCUUCAAAAGGUUCCAAGUUUCCUCCUUCAAAUGACCAUCAAGAGAACUAUAAAACCCGUAAACCUCCACUUCUCAUUUGCACCCUCCUCCUCCACAUCCACAUCAAUAUGGUUAAUCGAAAAACUCUUUAAAGACACAUUGGUUCCUUCCUUCCACCCUAUACUUAGCCCACCCGUUGUACCCACUGUCAAUACAACGAUUUCAUUGUGAAAACCACACUUAUGUUGUAUACAUUCCAUCCUCCUACAAUUCAGUUUAGUUUCUACUAAGAAGACCACUUGGUGAUGAUUGGGUUUUAGGAUAUGUUGAAACCUUCUACAAGCCCGAGGACUCCCCAAUCCCUAACAUUCCAACUAAAGAUCUUCAUUGUGUUCGGCCAGCCAGCCUUAUAACAGCUGCCGAUCUUCUCUGUUGAAUAAUUGGUCCUUGAACCUCUCUACAAUGCAUUAUAUCUAACUUUUCAACCUCAUCCAUGACCUUCGAUGAAAACCUUGGCCUCUUCUUUUCAACCGAUUCUUCUAUUGGCUUAUCCUCCACCUCUUGCAUCCAUUGUCUCCCUUUAGGUCCUCCCCAAUACCCCUUAUUCCCUCCCUCAUUCCCUUUUGACUUCCCUUCCAAAUUAAACCCUAAAAUAGAUUUCACUUGUUAAAACCCUUGGAAUUGUGAACAUCUCUGAUUCCUAUCCCUUACUCCUCCCCCCGAAUCUUUCCCAUCAACCCUGCUCCCAAAAACACCGCUCCCAUCAUCUUCACUUAGCCAAAUAAUCUUGGUAAUUGCCACUCUCCUUCCUGGCUUCCUGAAAGAUAGAUCCCAUCCUAAUUCUAGAUAUUGAUUCGAUUUUUCUCCCCUAAUAGGGCAGAAACUACCACUAUGCCCAAUGCGUCCACAUAGGAAGCAAAAAAGGGUCAAUUUUUCAUAUUGAAAUCUAACAUAGAAUUGCUUACCCGUUGAUGUUAUCAGUUUUUUCCUCCACUUUAAUGGAACUCUAACAUCCAUUAGAACCCUUACUCUCAUAUAAUCUCUAAAACCUUUGUUGAUUUGCUUCGCAUCAUAGUCCACAAAGGACCUCAAGAACACUUCAAACUGCUUAGCGGUUAUCUCAGAAACCAUACAUGGCGGCAAGUCAUAGAUCUAAACCCAGAAAAAAGAAUGUACCAAUGCUACAUCCAUCGAAUCCUCAUUCUCCAAUAGACGAUGGAACACCAACAGAUGAUUAUUAAAUGUCCAUGGAGCACCAUUAAUGACCUUAUUUAUAUCUACUUCAUUAUAAAACUUAAACAAAAACCUCUUUUUGGCCAGAUUUGAAAUUAAAGCCCCUCCAAUCGGAUGCCAUAAAUUAGCCAACGUGUUCCUCAUGGUCGGGAAGUGUACCACACUUGCUGUCAAAAAACAACCAACCAAACAAAACUCCUGCCUCGAUUCUUCCCUCUGCAAACCUCCAUCCACCCUCUUCCUCCCCAUCAUCAAGUCGCAGAUCUGCAAUACCAGCCUCCAUAUCAAAGUUAAUUUUUCAACCAAUGUCCAAAUCCCUAAUUUAAACCCUCUAUUAUACUCAGAAAAACAGACUCACAACAAACAAAACCCUAAGGAAAAUAGAAUUAUAUUAGACUGUGUCACAAGAACAGGCAAAGUUUCAGAGAAAACAUGCCAAAACAGCAGACUCCAAGUUGGCAAAGUACACAUCAUUAUAAAUUUUUAAAUAAAAUUGAGUUAAAAAAUAAAUAUAAAAAUUAUUCACCUCCCCUAUUGUCAUCCUAUUCGACUAUAAAUCUAUAAACUUAAAUAAUAAUAAUAAUAAGGGUGUCCAUAAGGGUUAAUUUCAAGAUACGUUUACUAAUUCUUUUUUUUUUUUAUCUCUCUCUCUCUUGCCAUUAAAAAGUUGAUGGUGUAUUUUUAAUUUUGACCUUUUACUUAUAAUCACAUUUGAAAUUUAAUCUUCAUAUUUUAAUUUGAUAUAAAAUGUUCUACUUUUACUAUGAAUUAAUUAGUCCAAAUUUAUUAUCCUCCACUAUUUCAAUUAAACUACUAACAUAAAUAUUUCUUAAAAACGCAUUUUUAACACACAAAAAAAAAUCUAUCUAUAAGUUAAAAUGUCUAUUUUAAGAAAAAAUAUAUACCUUAAUAUUUUAACUAUGAAUUCUUUUGAUUUAAAAUUUACAUUUUAUCUAGUAAAAAAUAUUUUAUUAAUUCCUUUUUUUAGAAAAUACAUAUUUAAAGGUGUUUGUAUAUGUCAAAUUACGAAUCAAUUUAUCAUUAUUUUUCAAGCAGUUAAAAGAAAAAAAAUAGAAACAAAAAAUUAUUUUAUUAUCUUUUAGUUUUUAUUUCUACAUAAUAUAUUUUAUAUAUAUCCGCAUGAAAAAUUAUAUUUAUUAAAUUAUAAUUUUUUAUUUUAAAUGAUGCAUUUAUAGGGUUUGAUCAGCAUAUUUAAUUGCAAAUUCAUUUAUUCAAAUUUUUUAACUUCAAUUUAUAUAUUUAAAGGUGUUGAUCAGUGCUUUCAUUUAUGAGUUAAGAUUGCUACUACAUCCGCUCUUUAAAAAGGGAUAAAAAUGUUGUGAGGCAUUUCUUAUUUAACACCUUUCCAAAUAGACACUUUUUCUUUUAUGUCUUUUUUAAAGAUUAUAUAUUAAUUGUUAAAUUUCAAUUUUGGUCCUUAUAUUAUGUUUAAUUUUGAAAUAUAAUCUCUAUUUUUAUAUAAUUUGGUAUCUCAACUUUUAUAAUGUCAUUAGUUAAUCUAAAUAUUUUAUUUUGAUUAAAAUAGUGAGUGAAUUUAUAAUAAUUGUUAAUAUCAUUAAAAUUAUGUAUUACAUUCAAGUCCAUUACAAUAUUAUCUUAUUUUGUUACAUGGAUACAAAUGAGUAUUUUUUUUUUUAAUUUCAAUAUGUCACACUAGAGAAUUUAACAAAAAAAAAAUUAACGGUGUUAAUAACUAGAUCCAAAAAAUAAAAUAACUAAAUUCCUAAAAAUAAAAAUAUAAUCAUUAAAUUCCAAAUAUAAGAAUUUAAAAUAUAUUUUAACUUUACAAUUUAAUCCAAAAAUAAUUAAUCCAAUGCGAAAUCUAUUGUAGUAACAAAUUAUUAUUAUGGUUUGCAUUGAUGGAGAGAGAGAGGGUUUGUAUUUAAGGAUUAUUAUUAUUAUAAUGUAAAGGUGAAGGUACAUAAAAGAAGACGUAGGUGUUGAAGCAACCUCCACAUCUUACACAAAUUCUCAACAUUACAUUAAAACUAAUAUAUGAAUCACCAAGUAACCAUGCACCAAUACUUUAUUCAUAGCUCUCAGCUUCUCCCUCCUACAAAAUCACCCAUUAUUCUCCUUCAUCGUUGCCUUCUUAUGGGACUGUAUACCCUGAAAAGUGUCGAAAUUUUACUAGUUAGCCUCAACAUAUUGGAAUACUUUUUUUAAAAAUUUUAAAAAUAUAUAUGUCAUUUUAAUGAUAUCAAAUAAUAUAACUAUAUAAAAUACUUAGUUUUCAAUAAUAUAUGCCAUUUACUCUAAAAAUAUUAUCCACUAAGAUAUAUUUUUAUUUUUAUUUAUAGUAAUAAAAAUUAGCAGUAAAAAUAAUCAUAAACUUAACAAAUUAUUUUUAAAUUUUAAUUUAUUUUUUAACAAAUUAUAUUAAAAGAUUUUUUUCCCCCAAAAUGGGUGGUAUGAAUUCUAGUCUAGUUAAUUUUAUAAGGGGAAAAAAGUGAAAGCCCGUUUAAAAAUGAGAAUGUCUUGGACCAGUCAGCUUGGUCUUGAUGUUCUGGGGUUGCCGAGCUUGUGCUAAUCACUUUAGGGCUUUACGUUUAUACCUUUAAUCUUCAAAACCAAGCCCAAAAGGAAACAUGCACAUGCACAAUGGCCGUUGUUAUUUGCCAGUCUUGAGCCCAAAACAUGGCAUUAAUUUAUGUAAAUGUUUGGUUAAGUUAAACACCACUUUCAAAAGAUAAAGAAGAGAAUGAGGUAGUGUACUUACUUCCACAUUUUUUGCCAGCUUGCCUGUUCCUAAUAUUGCAUUUUUUGGGAAUGGCAAUAGCAAUCCCAGGCAUGAUCCCGGCCUGCUUUGCCAAUGGUGAUAGCAAAAUAGCACAAAGGCACCUUGGAGAAGUCCUGAGUAAGGCACCCACCUUGGCGCAGCAAGCUGGAGGAACUUUAGCCCUUGCAUUCCGAGCCGCUCCCAGGCAUGGGCUUAAGCUUGCUGCAGCCGACCUGAUUGGGGUCCUCCCGCACUCUCCUGCUGCACCUGCAUCACUGACCAAUGCAUUCAAACUUAUCGAAAUCAAAAACAAAACAACCAGACAAUAAGGUUUCAAGCUCAAAGCCAUCUCUGUUACACUCCGCGAAACUCACUCUUUUU
rnacentral:lncRNA from 1 species